AUGCACAGAAAAAUGGACACGCUGGCCGGAAGACACGCGCGCCCGCUUGUGACGAAGGGACAUUUGGUGUGGAGAAAAAAAACCCACAGACACCCAGCGAGCGCCCAGCCACCUCUGGACGCUCUCAACUUUCCCAAGCUGAGCGCCAUCCAUCCUCUCCCCGCCACCUCCGCGACGCCCUACCUGUCGCCCGCCCGCCUGCCCGGCACCCCCCCACUGCCCCUGGGCUCGGGGAGACGGACCGGGCGCCCCUCGCCGCCUCUGCCUCGGGCCCCCCGCGCUGCUCGGCGCGCCGCAGCUCCCUCGUCCCACCCCCGGGCCGCCUCGCUCCCGCCACAAAGGCAGCGAGUAGAGCCCGGUGACAGGCCUUCGGCCUCUGGGCGCGGACAGCACGGCCGGGUCCCUUCGGUGGGCGACGCGAGGCUGCAGGGAGGGCGGGCGCGGCCCCCAGGCUGGCACUGGCGCUCCCUCGCCACCCGCACGCGCUCCGCUCACACCCCCGCUGCGCUUCCCAUCCCUCCGGAAAAGUCCGCCGCGGCGCUUCCCCGCGCGGCCAGGGCGUCCAGCCCGCCAAAGGGCAGCUCCUGCCGGUCACAGGCGAGCUCCCGCGCCCGGUUCGCGACCUCUCACCCCCCGCCCGCGCCCCGGAGUCCCCGCGGCCGCUCACCUGGCCCUGGCGGCGCGCGAGGGCAGAGGACUGGGGGUGGCCCUCGGCUCGGCCGGGCUGGUCUCCCCACCCCCAGUGCCGUUCCCUGCGCCGCGCUGCGCUGCGCUCCGCUCCGCUCCGCUGCUCCGGUCGCCCGCCUCCGAGGUGCUAGCGCCGCCGGCGGCUGGCGUCUCUCUGGCAGGCGCGCGGUCCGCGCGCUCAGUUCCCCGGGGCGGAGCGAGGCGGCGGCCGCCGCAGCCGGAGGCGGAUUCCUCAGCACGCCCUGGGGCCCCGGGCCCCUGCUCGUCGGGAGCCUCCCGGGACCACGGGGACGGCUCCACCCCAGGGCAGCGGCGUCCAGCUGGCCCUGGGCCUUGACUGCGGGGAAAAUGUUCUCGAGAGAUGCUACGUCCCGGUAG
rnacentral:lncRNA from 1 species